UACGAAGGUCCCAAGCGUUAUCCGGAUUGACUGGGCGUAAAGCGCACGCAGGCGGUCGCGCGCGUGUGGGGGGAAAUCUGGCCGCUUAACGGCCAGGCGCCAUCCCAUACGGCGCGACUGGAGUGAUGCAGAGGUCGGUGGAAUUGCCGGUGUAGUGGUGAAAUGCGUAGAGAUCGGCAGGAACACCCAGGGGGAAACCAGCCGACCGGGCAUCUACUGACGCUGAGGUGCGAGAGCGUGGGGAGCGAACCGG
rnacentral:rRNA from 1 species